rnacentral:misc_RNA from 1 species
GAAAUGCGAUAAGUAAUGUGAAUUGCAGAAUUCAGUGAAUCAUCGAAUCUUUGAACGCACCUUGCGCCCCUUGGUAUUCCUUGGAGCAUGCCUGUUUGAGUAUCAUGAAAUCUUCAAAGUAAAUCUUUUGUUAACUCAAUUGGUUUCUACUUUGGUAUUGGAGGUCUUUGCAGCUUCACACCUGCUCCUCUUUGUUCAUUAGCUGGAUCUCAGUGUUAUGCUUGGUUCCACUCGGCGUGAUAAGUUAUCUAUCACUGAGGACACUGUAAAAGGUGGCCAAGGUAAAUGCAGAUGAACCGCUUCUAAUAGUCCAUUGACUUGGACAAUACUUUUAUGAUCUGAUCUCAAAUCAGGUAGGACUACCCGCUGAACUUAAGC